UUCUAUCUAUAUAGGGUUUUGAAAUCCCUUUUUGAUUUGGUGUUUGACUCCUCUUUUGAUGUUGAAUUUAAUUGCAAUUGGAAUUCCUUAGAUGAGAAACUCUUUCGUGGCUCUUGGUUUUAUGUUGGCAGUGAUUGAGUUGGAUUUGGACUUCUGAAAAUUCGGAUUUCUAUUUUCUGCCCCAUUUCCCGCUCUGCUGUCAGUUUCUGCUGUCAAAGUGAUUUGCCCGGUGAUUUGAGUGUUUU
rnacentral:lncRNA from 1 species